rnacentral:lncRNA from 1 species
CAACAAUAUGAAAUCUUAUGUUCGGAGGACCACACAACUUUAUAUACAUUGAUAAGUGCUGUAAGUAGUGUUUUGUGUGUCUUGAAUUUAAAAAUCCAUAGUUAUGGACAACAGGACUCCAGGGCCAAUCAUAGUUAUCGGUAGAGCUUCUUUGUUCGCGACAUCUAUUUUCUGUAGUUUUAUGACAUCAUUAUGUCACUGAGCCGCAGGAGGGGCAUGUCAGCCACCUGUGAAACAAAUGAAAGUAGGACUUGUGCUAUAGAGCUUCUUCUACAAUACCAGUUUCAUUACAAGAUAAUCAUAUACUGCUGCUGAGAUGGAAGAAUGUUCUUCUACUUAAUCCAAUAAAGGACAUUGUGAUGAGUAAGCCAAUGCAGAUGCGAAAGGACAAAGAGGAAGACAAGGUUGAACAAGAAGCUGCACCAGCUGGACAAGAACUGAUUGUUCAGCCUGACAGACCUCACCAUGGCCUGUAUAAUCAGGGAGCCACAUGUUACCUCAACAGUGUCCUGCAAGUUCUCUUCAUGACGGCUGAGCUCCACAACAGGUUUGAAACAACUGCUUUUAUCUUUAACGAGAGUAAAAUAAAUGUUACCAUAAUAUAAUGUUUAAUAAUAUAAGGCAACUCUGGACCAGAUUAUGACGUUAUUUAUUUGGGUGCAUCUGGGUGUUUCAGACCCACAAAUAUCCAUCAUGGAGCAUUUCAAGACAAGCAGUAAGCAGUCACUAUUCACUGAGAAUCUAUUGUCUACCUAAAGGUUCGAACCACAAUCACAAACAGAUCGUCGAUUGAGAAAAAUCUUUGAAGACAUGAAGAAGAAAACAUGUAAAACAAAAAAAGUCACUGCAACAUUGGGCAUUGAAAACGGUAAGCUGGGCAGUAUUGAGAAACUUCAAUGAAAUCAGCAUGUUAGAUUCAGUUUAAUGUAUCAUUUUGCAGUUGAUGAACGCCGUGAUGCAGCUGAAUGUCUGGAGAUGAUCCUACAUAAGGUCAGCCCACAGGCCGCUGAGGUGAGCAGUCUACAACAACC